rnacentral:rRNA from 1 species
GUCGAACGGUAGAGGGGGCAACCCCUCGAGAGUGGCGAACGGGUGAGUAAUAUAUCGGAACGUGCCCAGUCGUGGGGGAUAACGUAGCGAAAGUUACGCUAAUACCGCAUACGAUCUACGGAUGAAAGCGGGGGACCGUAAGGCCUCGCGCGAUUGGAGCGGCCGAUAUCAGAUUAGGUAGUUGGUGGGGUAAAGGCUCACCAAGCCAACGAUCUGUAGCUGGUCUGAGAGGACGACCAGCCACACUGGAACUGAGACACGGUCCAGACUCCUACGGGAGGCAGCAGUGGGGAAUUUUGGACAAUGGACGCAAGUCUGAUCCAGCCAUUCCGCGUGCAGGAUGAAGGCCCUCGGGUUGUAAACUGCUUUUGUACGGAACGAAAAGGUUUCCAUUAAUACUGGGAGCUCAUGACGGUACCGUAAGAAUAAGCACCGGCUAACUACGUGCCAGCAGCCGCGGUAAUACGUAGGGUGCAAGCGUUAAUCGGAAUUACUGGGCGUAAAGCGUGCGCAGGCGGUUAUGUAAGACAGAGGUGAAAUCCCCGGGCUCAACCUGGGAACGGCCUUUGUGACUGCAUAGCUAGAGUACGGUAGAGGGGGAUGGAAUUCCGCGUGUAGCAGUGAAAUGCGUAGAUAUGCGGAGGAACACCGAUGGCGAAGGCAAUCCCCUGGACCUGUACUGACGCUCAUGCACGAAAGCGUGGGGAGCAAACAGGAUUAGAUACCCUGGUAGUCCACGCCCUAAACGAU